rnacentral:rRNA from 1 species
GGCCCUGCAAAGCAGCAUCGCGGUGGCGGAGCGUCGUUUGCGACGCCCAACACACAAAACAAGCGGUGAGUGCUUUGGGGUGGGGUGACUGCGUACCUUUUGUAUAAUGGGUCAGCGACUUAUAUUCUGUAGCAAGGUUAACCGUAUAGGGGAGCCGAAGGGAAACCGAGUCUUAACUGGGCGUUAAGUUGCAGGGUAUAGACCCGAAACCCGGUGAUCUAGCCAUGGGCAGGUUGAAGGUUGGGUAACACUAACUGGAGGACCGAACCGACUAAUGUUGAAAAAUUAGCGGAUGACUUGUGGCUGGGGGUGAAAGGCCAAUCAAACCGGGAGAUAGCUGGUUCUCCCCGAAAGCUAUUUAGGUAGCGCCUCGUGAACUCAUCUUCGGGGGUAGAGCACUGUUUCGGCUAGGGGGUCAUCCCGACUUACCAACCCGAUGCAAACUGCGAAUACCGAAGAAUGUUAUCACGGGAGACACACGGCGGGUGCUAACGUCCGUCGUGAAGAGGGAAACAACCCAGACCGCCAGCUAAGGUCCCAAAGUCACAGUUAAGUGGGAAACGAUGUGGGAAGGCUCAGACAGCCAGGAUGUUGGCUUAGAAGCAGCCAUCAUUUAAAGAAAGCGUAAUAGCUCACUGGUCGAGUCGGCCUGCGCGGAAGAUGUAACGGGGCUAAACUGUGCACCGAAGCUGCGGCAGCGACGCUUAUGCGUUGUUGGGUAGGGGAGCGUUCUGUAAGCCUGCGAAGGUGUCCUGUGAGGGAUGCUGGAGGUAUCAGAAGUGCGAAUGCUGACAUAAGUAACGAUAAUGCGGGUGAAAAGCCCGCUCGCCGGAAGACCAAGGGUUCCUGUCCAACGUUAAUCGGGGCAGGGUGAGUCGACCCCUAAGGCGAGGCCGAAAGGCGUAGUCGAUGGGAAACGGGUUAAUAUUCCCGUACUUGGUGUUACUGCGAAGGGGGGACGGAGAAGGCUAUGUUGGCCGGGCGACGGUUGUCCCGGUUUAAGCGUGUAGGCUGGUUUUCCAGGCAAAUCCG